UGGGUAACCUGCCUCAAAGAGGGGAAUAGCCUCCCGAAAGGGGAGAUUAAUACCGCAUAAUAUGUUUAGGUCGCAUGACUUUAACAUCAAAGGAUUUUCUUUUAGAAAUUCCACUUUGAGAUGGACCCCGCGGCGCAUUAGCUAGUUGGUGAGGUAACGCUCACCAAGGCAACGAUGCGUAGCCGACUGAGAGGGUGAUCCGGCCACAUUGGAACUGAGACACGGUCCAGACCUCCGUAGGGAGG
rnacentral:rRNA from 1 species